CUGAUGGUGCUAGAUUACUGUAUAUCUAGAUGUACGAUGAGCUGGAAAGAGACGAAAAGUCCUCAUCUGUUGAUUAGAUAUGACACAAAUUUUGCAGUUUGCCCCCAGCAGUUGUUCAGAUCAAGAACAACAACACCCCUUUGUAUGUGUUUUUGAUUUUAACUUAAAAAAAGGCAUCUCCAGUUGGUAUUAACAGACUUUAUGUAACAAUAUGUGAUUUCCAGGUCAUCCAGAGUUGGAUUUGACUGAUCACUGAAGAUAUUGGGCACACUGCUCAUACAAACAUACCAGCAGAGGGUUAAUAUUUCACUCUUCUUGGGUGGUGCUGUCAGCUCCAGUGUCUGAGUUUGGUAUAUUUUACACUGAGGCUGGUUUGCAUUGUUUGCUCAAGAUUAAUCCUCAUUUAAAUCUAUGCAAACUGAUGCACAAAAACACUAUUUGCCCUGCAGUGUAGCCUGUGCAGCCUGUGUUGUAUUAAACCCUUUGUGUGUGCCGUGUGAAUUAGAUGUCUUCUUUGACUGUUUACACUAGUUUAGUGGUGCACAAUCCUUCAGUGAAUCAGGUCUAGGAUGAGUGUGAAAGAAAUGAUUCAUUUAAACCCAGGGCCUAGAUCUGUUCAGGGUUCAAGCACCCAUCCUUUAACUUUACAGAUGGUGGUCAUUGAGUGUAUGUGCGAGCUUAACAAAUACUCAUACAUGGACCUUGUGUCUGGAGUAUUCUGUUAAACUAUGUGGAAGUUUUAAAAUUGAAGAUAAUUGAAGGAAAUGUCAUUUAAAGCCACUCUGUUUGUUACCUCUAUGUUUCAUCAUGGCAACACCAGUUUCUCACCUCGUGGCGUGGUGUAAGUGUUCUGUGUCAGAUGUGACUCAUGUCCAGUCAUAUCCUGCUGACGCCUAUGGACAGGCCUGAAUUUCCACACAUUACAACGUAUUGCAACAUACGGUCCAUUCAGUAAUGUGGUUUAAGUUAGUUGUGGAAAGUAUGAAACCCACUAUAUAUGUAGGCGCCAUUAUUCCAAUACUGGCAUUUAAAAGGAAAGCCCACUCAGACCUUUUACACCCACUGUUAGGUAAUGGAAAUAGUGCACCUGUUCACCCAAUAUGGCCUGACUAUAAAUGUGUCUGCGUAUGUGGACUGGGGGUGUACAUAUGAUGCAACAUCUGUAUCCUGUACCUUGUUAUGUAAGUUUUACGACGAUACUGAGGUUACCCAGUAUGCCCCUGAAAUGUGCCCCCCACCGCCUCCAACCAAGCAACAGGUGUUUGGGUGUGUGUGCAGUAUGUGUACUUGUGUGUUGGUGUGUCACUAUGUUAAUGUGACAUUUUAAGAGUAUUUUGAUCUAUUUUCAUGAUUUACUUCCUUAGAAAUGGAGCAAAUGGGGAGACAAGAGCAACUAAGAGGUUAAGACAUCGCCGACCUGAAAAUAGCUCAAGUUAAGCUUCAUAUCCAGUUUUGUUUGCUUCUUUUUCUACAAAGACACAAAAGCAGCAACAUGGUCUAUGACUGCUCCACAACCUGACAUCUGCCCCGUACGUGUAAAGGUGCAAGGGCCCGUUCAUUAAUUAAUAUUAGUCCUCAUGAUGCAUUAAUGUUUGUCUUAUUUUAAUUUUUGAAAAGAUUUAAAUUUCUCAACCUACCUCUCAUCUCUUUACUGAUUCCAUCAUGUAACUGUGAAUGUCAUGCUCUCUCACAAAAAAAUUCACCCUGGGUUAUUCCAAUGCAAACAAUAGGCUGUUUUGAUAGUGAGCUGUUCAACUCAGCUCAACUGCCACCUACUCCCCACAAGGGGUUUUGGACCUUACUAAUGAAUAUUAAUAAAUCAUAAAUCUUGCUAUUAACAGUUUUUGAAUCUCAUGCAAAGACAUUAAUACCAAUUUUAGGCAAAAUAUUUGGAUUGAAAUGGUUAAAAAUCCAUUUCAUUACUCAGCCACCUCUUGGGUUGUACAUCUUUUGGCGUGGUUUUGCUAUCGUGGGUAAUUCAUGCAAAAAUUCCAAAACAGUAUUUUAGUUCACACUACUUAUAUUUUUAGGUUAUACUUUGAACAAACAAAACAGGAACUAAGCUCUUACAUGUUGCAAAAAGCAGAUAAAUAUCAAACAUGAAGUCCUGCCAAGCUUAACAGUUCACUUAUAUCUCUUCCACCGUUAAAAUAAACCCUUUUAUGAUUGUUUAGGGCUAAAGUCUUAUAAUGUCGAUCUGUCUCAGUUUCUUUUCUAAACCCUCCUGCUUGGUUAGAAAAGAGUUAAAAAACAUACAGCUCAUACUUGAUCUACUCCUUUUUGGUUUCACAUCCUUUUUUGCUUCAGGACACUGAGCACAAUAUUGAACACUUUUAUUGCAGCUCUGCCAAGAAAAUGUCAUUAUUACUGUAAUAAAGAUCACUAUUAUCUUGGAUUCUGAGUCAAUACUUUGCAGCUUAGAGAGAUGAGAUGUGAGAUGAGACUACGGGGGAAGUUGGGGAACCAGUUGGGAGCAUUUAUGAAGUUUUUCCUUUUUUUUUUACGGCUAAUGGUGCAGGAGGGGUGCUACAAAUCAAUUCUGACAGAGAAGCAGGGCACUCCCUGAAAUUAAAAAAGGAAAAUAACCAGGGGGAGCAGAGAGAAGUGAAAAAAGUGUGAGUCUGUAUGUGUGUGUGUGCAAAAGAGGAAGCUGAACUGACCUCACCCGCUGGAAAUGGCAGAUUGGAUCUGCCAUGUGACACAAAUUCCUCUUCAUUCUUGCUCAGUAAUCAGCACGCACCCUCCUCCCUAAUCAACACUUAAUAGCAGCUUGAGCGGUUUUGGUGUUGUGUAUGUUGUGCAACUGAACCCACAGUUCAGCCUUUUCUCCUCUAUCUGAGCUAUUUGUGUGACAUUACAUGUAAUCACCGGCCACCUUUAAUGCGUAGUGGUUCAUUGUACAUUGCUGCUUUUUCUUCAGCCAAAUCUCGAGGUGAUUAUCCGUCAUUACAGCCUGAUUUCAGGGCAGAACAAAUAUGCAAACAGAAGCAGAGAGGCGGGAUGAUGGAGAAGUGCAAGGCCGCAAUUAGUCACUGAGGUCAUGGAAACUUGAUUUCUUGAAAAAAAAAGAGAAGGAGGGAGGGAAAAAUCCCUGUCCACCCUUUGUUCUCAUUGCCUCUCCUCUUGCAAAUGCUUGCCAAGUAACAGUUGAGCAUGGGUUAAAUCAGAGGGCUUGGAACAAGGGUCAGGAGGUCAGCAGAUCAGCAGCUAGGCUGGCUGACACACUGACCGCUCAAAUGGAUACAGGUCUAGAGCUAAUCGUGUCCAGUUUCAUCCAGGGGUGUGUCCAGAGCUGUGUACAGGGUUGGCAGGGCCACAGUGAGAUGUAACAGGCUACUGCUUAAAUUCUAUGUAGUAACUUUGGGAAAUUAGUUUUCUCUUUGAACCCUUGGACAAGUAUUUAGAGAGGUGAAAGACAUUUGUAAUGCAAUUUUAUUGAGUUAUUUUUGAGUGAAAAACCCUGGUCAAUCGUUGUCUGUAAAAACCUACUUUUGAGCCUCAUUCUUGUUUUUUUUUCAAUUAUCAUAUGCAUUAUAACUUCUAGAAAUCAGGUCUGCUUUGACAAUGGUAAUGUGCAAUAUUAUGUUGACCCCAGGCUUGCUCUUGUUCAUCAACUUUGAACAUCAUGCCUUUCCAUUUCAUUAUCAUGAACACCACACCUGUUAUGUUUAUAACCAUGUGCAAUAUAAUGUUGACGUCAGGCGUUUGCGUUAUUAAAAUGCAAUAUUACCUUUGAAAAUAUGCUUUCCGUUUUAAUUAUCAUAUGCCACCAAACCAACAAUUGUCCUUCUUUUGUUAGAAAACAUAUAAUAUAACCCUUAAAUGUCAUGUUUGUCUGUUAGUGAUUAUGUGCAAUGCUUACUUUUGAAAAUCAGCUUCUUGUGGUCACCAUCAUCUGUAAUUGAACUUUAGACGCAGUAUUUCUUUUGAAUACCAGGAUUUAUAUUUAUAUUACUGUUUGUAAUUUUAUCUUGGACAGUGGGGUUUCUGUGAUCAUCGACAUGUGCAUUACUACUUUUGAAUUUCAGGCUUUUCCCCUUCAUUAUAGUUUCUUUCUUUUUUUUUUAAAUUCUUGGUAUUGUUUUACUCUGCCCUUAAAAAUUCCACCUUAAGGAUUGUAAUCGAUUUUAAAGUGUCAUGGGCUUACUUCAUUGAUAUUUUAAAGUUACAUCAAGUCACAUCUUAUUCUCAAUGAUAACUAAGACAGAAAUAUUUACAUAAAUGCUUUCUGUCUCUGCUUGUGCAGACAUGUUUAAUGUUUGUCAGUGCCCCACUUUGUCCACACAUUUUUAAAAAUCUGGUGGUCUGAACUCCCAAUUGGUGCAUCGUGGUGUCAUGCAGAUGUGACUGAACAGGUGGACCUGUGAAAAGAGGAUUAACAUGUAAGAUUUGCAUGUCUGUGUCUGUGUGUGUGUGUGUGUGUGUGUGUGUGU